rnacentral:rRNA from 1 species
CCAGACUCCUACGGGAGGCAGCAGUGAGGAAUAUUGGUCAAUGGGCGCGAGCCUGAACCAGCCAAGUCGCGUGAGGGAAGACGGCCCUACGGGUUGUAAACCUCUUUUGCCGGGGAGCAACGGGCGCCACGUGUGGCGCCACUGAGAGUACCCGGAGAAAAAGCAUCGGCUAACUCCGUGCCAGCAGCCGCGGUAAUACGGAGGAUGCGAGCGUUAUCCGGAUUUAUUGGGUUUAAAGGGUGCGCAGGCGGCGAGUUAAGUCAGCGGUAAAAUUUGGGGGCUCAACCCCGACAAGCCGUUGAAACUGGCUUGCUAGAGUGGGCGAGAAGUAUGCGGAAUGCGUGGUGUAGCGGUGAAAUGCAUAGAUAUCACGCAGAACUCCGAUUGCGAAGGCAGCAUACCGGCGCCCAACUGACGCUCAGGCACGAAAGCGUGGGUAUCGAACAGGAUUAGAUACCCCGGUAU